CCCCUAGAUGUUCUGGGCCGCACGCGCGCUACACUGAUGCAUGCAACAAGUCUUUUCCUUGGCCGAGAGGCCUGGGCAAUCUUUGAAUAUGCAUCGUGAUGGGGAUAGACGAUUGCAAUUAUUCGUCUUCAACGAGGAAUUCCUAGUAAACGCAAGUCAUCAGCUUGCAUUGAUUACGUCCCUGCCCUUUGUACACACCGCCCGUCGCACCUACCGAUUGAAUGGUCCGGUGAAGGCUUCGGAGGCGGCUUUCUCAAUGUUUAUUCGGCGAGACUGCUGCCAAAGUUGAAUGAACCUUACCAUUUAGAGGAAGGUGAAGUCGUAACA
rnacentral:rRNA from 1 species